rnacentral:tRNA from 1 species
GGGGAGACGCGAUCGGUCGCGCAGCUUCUUACGCAUCUGACGCAAGCCGUGCGUGGGUUCGAAUCCCACUCUUUCCGCCA